GGGGAUGACUGGUUUCGACGGGUAAGUUGAAGCUUCAGUGGCGUGUCGAGGUUGGCCUCCAGGCCUCGUAAAAAGGAGUCCAAAAAACAUAAAUGCUGACGAAAGUUACGCACUAGCGGCAUAGUUCCGCUACGUCUCUACCCUAAUGUCUGUUAAGGGAUAGAGGCGACGACAACAGGCUAAGGCCAAUACCGGGCACCCGGGUUGCGGCUCGAAAACCAUAACAGGAUACUAGCGACCAAAGUGGCUCUGUCGAGUGGCAGCGGAGGCGGCGAAUCUUUUAAUGCUCGACUACACACGUAGAGGCUGUUGUGACUCUUAUUCGGACGGGGGUUCAAUUCCCCCCAUCUCCACCA
rnacentral:tmRNA from 1 species